rnacentral:rRNA from 1 species
ACUCAAAGGAAUUGACGGGGGCCCGCACAAGCGGUGGAGCAUGUGGUUUAAUUCGAUGCAACGCGAAAAACCUUACCUACCCUUGACAUCCUUGGAAUUUUGCAGAGAUGUGAGAGUGCCGAAAGGAACCAAGAGACAGGUGCUGCAUGGCUGUCGUCAGCUCGUGUUGUGAGAUGUUGGGUUAAGUCCCGUAACGAGCGCAACCCUUAUCCUUAGUUGCCAACAGUAAGAUGGGGACUCUAAGGAGACUGCUGGUGAAGAACCGGAGGAAGGUGGGGACGACGUCAAGUCAUCAUGGCCUUUAUGGGUAGGGCUACACACGUGCUACAAUGGGACGCACAGAGGGAAGCGAACCUGCGAAGGGGAGCGAAUCCUAAAAAACGUCUCGUAGUCCGGAUUGAAGUCUGCAACUCGACUUCAUGAAGAUGGAAUCGCUAGUAAUCGCGAAUCAGCAUGUCGCGGUGAAUACGUUCCCGGGCCUUGUACACACCGCCCGU